UAUUAUGAUGUUGCCUAAGUUUAAAUUCACUGGGUCACUGAAAUGGAGCACUUCAAGUUCAUACGAAGUGCGUACUGUAAAUUUAGUGGUUGUGUAUUGCAUAGUUUUAGCGAUUGGAUUUCAAUCAAACCUCACCAAAUGACUCCUCACAGCAUAUUAUGAUGUUACCCAAGUUUUGGGCUCGAUCCGAAUUCACUACGUCAAUGAAAUUGCACCUCAAGUUCGUAUUGUAAAUGGAGUGGUUAGGGUAUUGUAUAGUUUUAGCGAUUGAAUUUCACUCAAAACACACUAAAUGCCGCCUCCCACCACAUCACGAUGAUGCCCAAGUUUUGUAGUCGAUCCUUAGAGAAAUUGGACACUUCAAGUUCGUACGAAAUUGGUUCGUAAAUGGAGUGGUUCGUGUAUUGCAUACUGUAGUGCACCUUGAAACUUCGAUCAAAUCUGACUUUGCCCCCCCAAACUUAAAAUGACCCACUUUCAUCCAUUGACCGAGGUUUGGUGACCCACUAUGCCUCCUACCGUCAACUCCAUCUAAAAGUCUGUUAACUUUGAUGACGUGGCAGGGGUGUUUUUGUAAUUUCAUACACAUGGAUCAUCAUCCACUAAUCAAAUGAGUGACAUGGCAAGUGGAGGGCACCUUCUCCAUAUGGAUAAAAAUAUAAUUAAAUAUUGUAAUAAUUAAAAGUUAAAAAAAAUAAGAAAAAAAUAUUUUCACAUAAUUAAAAACUCUACCCAUCACCCCAAAUCCUC
rnacentral:lncRNA from 1 species